GGGGUUGUGGCUCAGUGAUAGAGCAUCAGCUUGGCUUGCAGAAGGUCCCAGGUUCAAUCCUUGGCAUCUCCA
rnacentral:tRNA from 1 species